UACGGAGGGUGCAAGCAUUAAUCGGAUUCAUUGGGCGUAAAGGGCGCGUAGGCGGAAAGGUAAGUCAGACGUGAAAGCCCGGAGCUUAACUCCGGAAUAGCAUCUGAAACUACUUUUCUUGAGGAUAGGCGGAGAAAACGGAAUUCCACGUGUAGCGGUGAAAUGCGUAGAUAUGUGGAAGAACACCGGUGGCGAAGGCGGUUUUCUAGCUUAUUCCUGACGCUGAGGCGCGAAAGCUGGGGGAGCGAACAGG
rnacentral:rRNA from 1 species